AAUUAAAAAGCGAACAAUCGCACUUAGUUUCGGCCUAAGCAUCUGAUCUUUGAUCUUUAAUUU
rnacentral:tRNA from 1 species